CAGAUUUAAGCUUUGUCUAUUUCAGACCUUCCAGCUGAUUCCAAAGACUCUCCUAAAAGCAAUUCCAGUUUUGAAAUGUUAUGUAAGCCUCACUGAUGCAGAGUACAUAAAAUAAAAUAUGAACUUCAGAGUUUGGAAGGGACAUUACAUGAAGACCAGGGCUUCACAGUGGAAGACGAUUCUGGCAAGGCUAGGCUGGUUCCAGGGCACUGCACGGUACCCCGAAUAUUUUCUCUUUUUCAGUCUGUGGUUUUCAUCUGCUGACCCUGCAUUGUGUCUUCACCAAGGGUCAAAAAGCUUCAAGUCUGACAGAUCAGCCUUUACCACCUGAAAGAUCCCGGUUCUCUUCUGAAAUCAUAAGCAAAUGUUAGCCUUGUCUAUGGAUAGCAAACUGCUGAUGCAGAAACCAAAACACCAGCAGGAGCCCAGGCAGCUAAGGCCUCAUCCAGGCAGGAUGUGAAAUGUCAGGCCAUUUGUCUUAUAUUUUCACUGCAGUGGUUACAAGAUGGGAUUGAUGUUGGAACAAAACACAACACUGACUUUGGAGAAUUCCUUGUGUUUUUUUUUCAGCGUUAAAUAUUGACACCCACUCACCAGGCUUGAGAACUAGAAAAGCUACAUGGAUUUCUAGAGUGAGCAAUGAUUUCCUCUGGCCGCCAUUCCUUGCCAGGUCGGUGCCACUCAGCACAUGCCAAGGGCAGAGACCAGUUUCUUGUUUCAUCUGGCUAUGGUGUAGACCUACAGUCAUACCGCUAAGGUAGAAAGCUCACAGCCCCUCCAAAAAUUGACACAAUAAUGAAAUCAGAAAGACAAAACUAAGCAAUCAAUUUAAGACAGAAAAAGAGUGCUCUGGUAAACAUUUAAGAAUUCAAAUAUGCUUUUACAGCUGGGAGAAAAACUUGUAUGUUUGUGUGGCUCCUCUGAGCCUAAAACCUCCCUGCAAGCAUUCUCACAAUAGUGUAAACUCUAUCAUAAAAGAGGUGAAAAUCUAUCAACAGAACACAACCCAUAGCCCUACAGUCAUCCAUGAAACCGCCCAGGAAGUCUUCACAUUUGCAGGCUUGCCUUGGCCAAAAUUUCAGGCAGACCCCCAGGAAUUUUGGGAGAGCAGAGGGUCAAGCUGUAAACUCCAAGUACUAGUGUUCAAAUAUUGUGGCCUUUCAGCUCUGGGUUCUUCAAUCCUCCUCCUGGAAUUCUUGGGCGACCUUCCCUUUACUAGGAUUUGCUCCUCUCCUCCUGCUGUGACUGUGUGAAGGGCAGGCAUCAUCACAUGGGGAGCCAAGUACCUCCGUCUCCCCACUUGCCUAAAACAAGCAGGCACAUCCCAUCAGUGAGACUGGAACUUGCAGGAGAAAAUAAGAAGUGAAAUCUCUCUCACACACACAGUUCUACUCAAACUAUAAGCUUUUAUUAUUGUAUUUUACAGAUCAUUCAUUCAGGACAUGCUGCAUCUGGGGUUGGCAUCAUUUCCCUUUUGAAUGACAGAAUGUGCAUAAAAGUCUCUUGCCCACGCUGAACUCACACGUGCCCGGCAGGAAGGAGCUCUCACGAAGUGCCAGCUGGAUGUGAGCUUGCUCUGGCAGCAGCAGUGCUGUCCUUGUUUCUGAGCUGCCACCUAUUCACUGGAGUUAGAAACCUUGUGGGAAAAUGGUGCCUAUUUUUGACAACUGGAUGUCUUCGUGGCCGAGGUCCCUAUGACCUUCCUCUCAAAAGAAUACGUGUAGUUUUAGUUCUCAGACAUCUGGGUCUUGCUCUGUUGCCCAGGCUAGAGUGCAGUAAUGUGAUCAUGGCUCACUGAAGCCUCAGCCUCCGCCUCCUGGGCUCAAGUGAGCCUCCUACCUCAGCCUCCCGAGUAACUGGGACCACAGCAUGUUCUUUUAAACUUCCUAAAGAAGCCCAUGAUAACUGGGAACACGGGCCCUUCACUGAGGCAGGAGAAUCACAUGAGCCACACAUGAUAUCCACUGGAGGAGACAGAAAGUCUGGGAGUGUCAACUGAAUUGAAAGAAAAGGAAAGCAGAGAUGACAGACAGCACACCGGAAGUGACAGGAUAAGCAGUGCAUCUAGCUGGGAAAUAUGUACACUGCCUCCUUCUAUAUCUCAAAAAUCAUCUAGAAUGUUAGAGUGAUUUUCUGGGUCAGAGGGAAGACACGUCUUCAUUUGUUAACUUUUAGAUUUGCGUACCAACUUAUUACUGUAAGCAAUUUAAUUGCAAAGGAUAAAGAACAAGAUAUGAUGCAUCAUCAGGAGAAAAGUCAAGAAUCCAUGUUUAAAUUCAGUUACCUUAUGUAAUCGAAGGUAUACAUGAGCCGAAGAGAGUUUGUCCACAUGAAACCUACAAAGAAUGAAAACCACUUUUAGCAAGAGGUACAAGACAAUCAUCUCCUCAGGCCACAUGCCAUUUAAAGCAUUCUGUUCUAAAAAGUCUUCACUCCAUGCCUGCCACAUGUGAAGCAUCAUGAGGAGUAUAAAGCACAGUCACCACCUCCAAAGGGCUCCCCAUCACCAUGAAGAGGUACGAGAAACACUGAAUUAUGGAGCUGUGAGUAAGUGCCAAGAUGAGUAGAGAUACUAAAUAUUAACUGUACUGGGAAGGGUGAUUUUUCAAGAUAUAAAAAGAACUAUCAGUGAUCAAAGGCUUCAUGAUAAAAAGGAGGCAGUGAGAUUUGGUUGGCCCCUGACUGAAGCAUAGGACUUAGAGCAAAACCAAGGAAAGGAAUUUCAGGUGAAAAGAGUGGGGGAUGAAAGAAGUCAGCAAGUCUCCAAUGCUGCCAGCCUGGGAGAUUAGCAGAACCACAGUUUGGCGGAAACAGAUGACAGUUUCGUUUGUGACAUCCCAAAUUUCAAGUUAUAGCAAAACAAUCCAAAGAGAAUGUCGAAUAGAGAGCUGGAAGAGUUAGGUGGGGCCUAAAGACGCUAAGCAGAACACGUCAUUAAAUGGGUCACAAUUCAAUAAUGUAACCCAAUAAUUCACAAGCACAACAGUUCAUCCGGCCCUAUAUUCUGACAGUGAUACCAAUAUAUGUCUCUUGGGUGAGCACUGCCCUUUACUGACAUUGUCCUAAAAACAUUCAGAAUGUCCCCCACCCCUUAAAUUUACCUUUCAUGAUGGAUCUAUCAUCUAUCAAUUUAAUUAAACCUUUUAAAAUCUAUGCAACAUUCAGGAUAUGAGAUUUUCAUGUUUUCAAUUCACCCAAUGAACUUGACUUUCUCUUUCCAAUACCCAGAAAUGCCCCCUCCGCAUCCCAGCAUCACACAACAAACAAGGUAACACUAUCGCCACUUCGUGAUUCUGUUAACUUUAGUUGAUAUGAUUUGGAUUUGCGUCCCCACCAAGUCUCAUGUCGAAUUGUAAUCCCCAGCGUUAGAAGUGGGGCCUGGUGGGAGGUGACUGGAUCAUGGGGGUGGAUUCUUCAUGAAUGGGUUAGCACCAUCCCUUUGGUGCUAUUCUUAUGAUAGAGUUCUCAUGAGAUCUGUUUAAAAGUGCACAGCCCCGGCACCCUGCUCCUGCCAUGUAAGCCGCCUCGCUUCCCCUUUGCCUUCUGCCAUGAUUAAAAGUUCUAUGAAUGAGGCCUCCCAGAAACAGACACUGCCAUGCUUCCUGUAUAGCCUGCCAAACCAUGAGCCAAUUAAACCUCUUUUCUUUACAAAUUACCCAGUCUCAGGUAUUUCUCUAUAGCAAUGCAAGAUGGACUAAUACAUUAGUCAUACUGCUUCCUUGGUCCUUACCUUUCCAGACUGAAGAAUGUUCAGAAAAUCCUAAAGAGGCAUCAUUACAUCCCAUUAUGUUUCUCUAGCCAUUUUCUUAAGCACUAAUAAAUGUUUUAGAGGUGAAAAUGGUCACCUUCACACCUAGUACAAGAUGUAGACUGUAUGAUUCUAUAUAAAAGUGCCCUCUUUAAAGAGGUUAGUCAUCUUGCUAUUCACUAUGCAUACAGAAAAAUAUUAGGCACUUUUGGCACACAGUUUAUGAUGACUCGAGGUUUUACUCUUAAUCAUUAGUGAUAGCCAGAAAUGGACAUAACAUCUUAUUUGACUUACAUUUCUCCAAGUGGUUCACUUACUCAUUUGCAUUCCCAUGUGAGAGAUUCAUACUAAUUAUCACCUUCAGCUGGACAUUUUCCAGCCAGAAAAACCUGUGCUUUUUGCAAAUCUAAAAAUUACAUAUCUCAUUAUCCUCUUUCAGAAUCUUAGGAAAAUAUCACACUAGUAACCAAGAUAACUGAAAAGUAACUUUACCCAUUCCAACUUUUAUUUGCCUUAAGCCAGUUCUCUAUUUACAACAUCUUCUUCCCUAUGUACCUAUAAUAGAUUGAAUUCUGAUUUUUCUUAAAGGUCUCUGAUGUAGAAUUUUGUCAAAAGAAAUACCCAAAUAAUUCAAUAUAUAUUUAAUGAUAUUCAUACAUAAGUAGAGAAAGAACCAAAACACACACAGGAAUAUCACUGCCAAAAUACAGCAACUUUAUCAAUAUACACCAAUUUCAGGUUUGUAUAUGAUAGAUACACCUCUACAAAGAGCAGGGGAGAAUGGAUGAAAGUAUAAGAGAAAAAAAAAAUCCAGCUCUAUAAACAAACUAUCUUGAGCGAGUUUCCUUAAAAAAGAAGCAAACGACUUCUCCAAUCUUUCUAAACAUUUAUUCAAAGUUUAAAUUACAGCCAUAGUUCCCUCUUAUCCUUGUUAUCUUCCUCUCCCUGUUACCCUUUCCUGAAUGCAGAGACCAGAAGCUUCACUAAAUAAGCAUCAACUGUCUGAGGAUACAGAUUCAGGGCCCUGGAGCUGGGCUGUCCAACGACUUAAAGCAGAGUCUGUGGAAAUACUAAUCAUUAGGAGGUCUGGACACAGUAAAUACACACUAUUUCUAUUUUCCUACAUUUAAAGAUGAAUUUAGGGCUGGGCACAGUGGCUCAUGCCUGUCGUGCCAGCACUUUGGGAGGCCGAGGUGGGUGGAUCACUUCAGGUCAGGGGUUGGAGACCAGCCUGGCCAAUAUGAUGAAAUCCCAUCACCACUAAAAAUACAAAAAAAUUAGCCAGGCACAGUGGCGGGAGCCUGUAGUCCCAGCUACUUGGGAGGCUGAAGCAGCAGAACCACUUGAACCCGGGAGGUGGAGGUUACAUUGGGCUAAGAUGGUACUACUGCACUCCAACCUGGGAGACAGAGCGAGACUCUGUCUCAAAAAAAAAAAAAAAAAAAAAAUUAGCCUGGUGUGGUGGUACAUGCCUGUAAUCCCAGCUACUUGGGAGGCUGAGGCAGGAGAAUAGCUUGAACCCGGGAGGUAGAGGUUACAGUGAGUCAAGAUUGCACCACUGCACUCCAGCCUGGGUGACAGAGCAAGACUCUGUCUCAAAAAAAAAAAAAAAAAAAAGAUGAAUUUAGUUCCAUUCUCACUGAUUCCUAGGAAAACCCUUUGCUUAAAGGAGCCUCAGGAGGUUUUCCGGGAUAAAUCCAGAUGCUGACAUUCACAGAGGUAAUGAAUGAUUCAACAGCUCCACAAAGUGAAGCAGGUGAACACCCCACCCUGGAAUGGUGAUCAACUCAGGAUCAUUCUUAGCACUCCCUGGAAUAUGUCCAAAAUUGACAGCUGGAAUGGGUUUUGAGGUCUACACCUACUCACAUCACACCUCAAAUGUAGCUUCUGAAGGUAAAAGCCAAUCACAUCCAACAACAGUCAUUCAUCUCAAGACUACUAAAGGGGGUCGAAAUAGGCCUCUUGGUAUCUGUAGACCAAUUUGGGAAGUACUAACCUUAAUGAAAUGAAAAACUGAGGUCAUAAUUUAUUGGAUGUGGGUUGUAAACUGGAAAUUUCUCUUCCAUUUAUUUAAACAAAUGAAAGUCAGGUAGAAGGCUGUGGUACACUGAUUUUCAGGCUGCAUCUGAUUAUGUAACCUUCUCUAUGCAGGUUUUUAUGCCUCAAACCUGAUAGGUUAAAAAUUUCCAUCAGCUAACUGCCUAACAGGUGCAGCCAUUCUUAUUCCCAUGAGAGUCUGGAGAUCUUUAAAAACAACUGAAAAUCAUCCAGCUGGGGUUGGCAGGAGCUCAAAAUGGAGAUAACCAUGAUGUGGCCAUUGUAGGGAAAUGUCCAUGGAGACUGCUUCUACGCUGGCAGGGAGUCAAUUAGGAAAUCAACCAAUAUUUACUGAAUACCUACUAUGUGCCAGGACCUAUGCUAGGUACUGGGGACAUAGUAGUUAAUGAAAUAGGUGAUCAUUGUCCUCAUACAGCUUACUGUCUCAGGCCCUAGGAAGGCGGGCAGCCCCAGUCUGGAUGUUUUCAGCAUUGCACACUGCCCACUUGAGGCAAAAGAGCACCAAGCAGGGUUUAACUUGAUGACAUAUUUGGAUUUAGAAGACAGGUUUUUGUGCUGGAAUAGGGACCAGAUUUAAAUAAGCCUUUAAAAUUCCUUUGUUCUGGCUGGGCGCGGUGGCUCACGCCUCUAAUCCCAGCACUUUGGGAGUCCAACGCGGGUAGAUCACCUGAGGUUAGGAGUUCGAGACCAGCCUGGCCAAUGUGGUGAUAGCCCCAGUCUCUACUAAAAAUACAAAAAAUUAGCCAGGCAUGAUGAUGGGUGCCUGUAGUCCCAGCUACUCGGGAGGCUGAGGCAGGAGAAUCUCUUGAACUAGGGAGGCAGAGGUUACAGUGAGCCGAGAUCGCACCAUUGCACUCCAGCCUCGGCAACAAGGGCGAAACUCCGUCUCAAAAAAAAAAAGAAAAUUAAAUCAACUCUUCUAAAAAGCAGUAGCCCAACUCUAUCACUAGAGGGAAAUAAGUGAAGGGUCUGUGUCCACAUUUGGAGAAAAGAGGUCCAGAGAGAGCUGCAGCAACAGCCUGGGAGAAGAAAGGAGCUGAAGCCAAAAGAGCAGCAGCCUGGAGAAGACAGAAGCAGUGACUUAGAACCAGAGCCAGAGCCAGUAGCAGACAGAGCAGACCCAGUCAGUUUCUCUUAACCUUAAUUUCCUCAUCUGAAAAAAUGGGCAUAAAUAUUAAUAUCUAUUUCACAGGGUUGUUGUGAAGUUAAAUGUAUUAAUGGAGGUAAACACUUAGUAGUAUUUGGCAUAUAGUUAAGUGCUUGACAGAUAUUCACUAUCAUAAUAAAGCAAACGGGACCCAGGUGCCUUUAUCUUCAGGGAUAGCAUUUGGUAGGAGGUAUGAGGAGUCAGGAAGAUGAUAUCCCACUCCAUAGGCAGGACUGUGCUCUAGAAGAGAGGCAAUACUAGGGUCAGAGUCAGUGGUGGAAGCUGAAGAUGAAGAAAACGAAAGUAGACUGGGUGUGACAGUGUUAUAGGACAGAAGCCCAUGUAUUCAUAAAAGGCCCCAGGUCUGAAUGGUAGAAGUCUAUAUGGUGUUCUAAGACAGAGAAAAGAAUUCAGCUUAAAUGAAGUCUUUUUGUUUGUUUGGUAUUCUUUUUUUUUGGACUGGGUUUUGUGAGCAAAAUAAAUGAUCUCAAAAGGAGACUAAGAAAGUAUAUGUUAUUAUUUAAAACAGUUCACAUAAAUUGUUUUAGAAAGAAGGCGUCGGGGUUGGAUCAAGACAGAGCUAAACUCAUCAGGGAGUUUAGAAGACAAAGGGGAACAAGUGUGCUUCCUUUAAAGCUGGACCAGUAAGAACCUCCGUCUAUUCCAUCCGCAUGGAUGCUUGUAUCUAUUUUCUUCAUUGCUUCAUGUGAAGUCUUCAUUUUUCCACUCAAGAACAGUGGUCUGAAUAUUUAAGUGAGGUGUGGUCUCAGUAACUUACUAUGGCGUGGAGACAAAAAGGAGGAAAAAGAAGGCCUGUGUCCUAGAGGCCUUUGCUCUCAAGCCUGAGAUCAAACCCAAAAACAUCAUUUCCAACUUGCAAGGUAAUUAGAAAUGAAGGAACUGGCAGUCAGCUGUUUAACCCUGAAGACCCAUAAACCACAGUACAAAGCAUGAUUCUAGUUUGAAUGCUUGGCCAAGUCUAAGAAAGGAAAUGAUGAUCUACAGAGGGCAGAACCAAAAUUGUUACUUACCAGAUAUCUUCAGGCCAGCCAUGCUUGAUCAGAUCUUCAUCUGCAAUGAGAUAUGAGAAACGAAAGAAACAAAAACUGUCAAAUGAAGAUAUGCCAGGGUUUAUAAGAAUGGGAGAAAUGUCAGCUCCUCCCACAAAUUUCUCUCUCCCUCAAUGAAGAAGAGUAAUUCGGAGGCCUUGAUGCUUGAAAAUACAGAAAAAAUAAUAAUUUUCAUAAUUGAACAAUAUGAACUUUAUAAUUUUUAUAAAUUUAUAUAAUACUUCUAAUCUAAAGCUCAGAUAUUAUUUCUAUAUGAAGAUAAUAAAACUAACACUGACAAAACAAAGCAACCAAUAGUUCAGAUGUUUCAGAUAAUCAAUUCACCUAAUAAUACUUAAACAUUAAAAAGAACUGGCUGAAACUUUAAAGAAAUAUUUUACUUCUUUAAGAAAAAUUAACUUGAUUAUAAAAUUACAGAAAAUUUAAAACAAAACAAACAUUAGAAGUAUAAAAAGAAAAUAAAAAUCACCUUAAAUUCUAUCACACAUGGAAAUAAAACACCAGAAGAAAUAGCUAACAGAGUGAAAAGUAAUUGUCUGGGGAGGUAGCAGGUGGGGUGGAACAUGGGUAUUAAGAAGGAUUCUUUUUUUAAUUCUAAGCAUUCUAUUACUACUUGACUUUUUAAACUAUGUAUUUGUUAGAUACAAAUAAAAAUAAAGUUCUUUGGGAACAAUGACUACCUAAUUCUCUUAUAUGAAUAAACUUUUCUAUUGUUGGCCCUUGGUUUGUUUCUAAUUAUAAAUGGUUCAAUAAAUUUUUUAAGUAAAGUUGUCCAUAUUUCUGAUUAUUUCCUUAAGGUAUAUUUCUAAAAGCUAAAGUAUUCGCUCAAAGUGAAUGCACAUUUUUUAAGGCUAAUAUAUAUCACUACAUAAAGGUUAUAUCAAUAAAUAUUUCUACAGCCAUAUUAAUAAUUAGUAAUAAUUCUGUUUAAUACAGAAUUAUUUAAGUAUUAAAUGCCAAUUUAAAAAUCAUAAACAAUACUGGGCACAGUGGCUUACGCCUGUAAUCCCAGCACUUUGGGAGGCUGAGGCGAGCAGAUCACCUGAGGUCAGGAGUUUGAGACCAGCUUGGCCAACAUGGUGAAACCCCAUCUCCACUAAAAUUACAGAAAUUAGCCAGGCAUGGUAGCACGUGCCUGUAGCCCCAGCCACUCGGGAGGCUGAGGUGGGAGAAUUGCUUGAAUCCAGGAGGUGAAGGUUGCAGUGAGCUGAAAUCACGCCACUGCACUCCAGCCUGGGUGACAGAGUGGGAAACUGUCUCAAAUAAAUAAAUAAAUAAAUAAAUUGUGAAUGAUUCAUAUGUGAUGAUUUAAAAUGUACCCAAGAAAGUAUGGUCUAUAUAAUUUGAAUGGGGUAUUUACCAUCCAGAAAAGGAAAAGCAAAAGGAAGACACAUCUUGGGUAAAGGCACUCAUAACAGUCGUAGACACUAUGAGUUUUCUGAAAGGCUUUCUAAUGCUUUAAGUAGGACUGAGCAAAUAGCCAAAAGGUAAGCAAAAAAAGGAAAGAGAAAUUUAAAAAAUCUCUUUCCCUCAGUCAGGCAAAGUUUGGCUCCCUGAUGACACCUGCUGGCUGAUAAAAAGAACAGACCUGAAAGCUUUUCAGUGAAAGUAAAUCAUUCCACUUAAAUUGAUGUUUCUAUCGAGUUCUUGGUCUGAAGUCAUAAACACUAUUAGAAAUAAAUGUAAUGGGCUAGGAAUGCCAGACAAUGGGGUGAUUUAGAGAAGUAAUGUCCGUUCUUACAAGGCAACCUAGGAAAAGUUGAUACCUCCAAAUGACUCUAAGAGUUCCCAGGGAAAAAGUGUUCCAUACAUACAUACAUUCACUUACUUCAGACAACAGAUUCUCGCUGUCUCUUAAGCUGGAAUGCAGUGGCAUGAUCAC
rnacentral:tRNA from 10 species